GGCACUUCAGAGGGCGGCUGGACUCUGACCACACUGGGAAUGGGCACAGGCUGCCCGACACGUAAGGGGGCACAGAGCCUGCCCAGGGCUGCAUGGUGGCUGUACAGCACUGCACGUGGGAGGGAAAUGGGGAGCGCUGGCGGGUGCACCUGCUGCCUGCCAGCAACGUGAAAUAAACAGUUCAGGACAGGGAGACACCAUUAAGUGUGAAUCACUUGCUCUGAUUUGUUCCUUCCGACAGGAACACCCAGUGCUUAUGUGUCUCACCGACUGAUCUCAAGGCACUUUGUGGUGAGGGCAGUUACCCCUGCGGUGGCUUGGGGAGAAACUGUCACUGAGGAGAAGUGAAGGAAGCUGCUGGAGGCCACCGAGCAGGAUGGCAGCAGAAGUCUGCAGAAAACCCCUUUUGCCCAGCCUGGACACCCCUGCUGCUGCUAAGGUCUACCAUACAAGAAAGAGAAAGAACUGUAUUGAGGAGGUGGAUACAGUUUCUUUGUGGACAUAAAUGACCUUGAAGGGAGUAUGUGAUUUCAAAAGUGCCUAAAUUUGCUGAUAACGCUAAAUUGGGCGGGACCACUAAAUAGAGGAGAGAGCCAACCGGUUGAAAAUUAUCAGGUUGGAUAAGGCUUGGAGGCUGAUAAAGUAGCUCAUGCCCAUUAGUAUGGAGAAGUGUAAGAUAAUGAAACAAAGCACUAGAAACAAUCAUAGUUUCUUUGGGCUAAAAUAAUACAAGUUUCAGAAUCUGGAAUAAACAGACAAUUUUACACGCUUACUUUCAAGUCUCUUCAGUUCUUCUGAAAACAAAUGAGGAACAUAGGUCAAAAUCCUCUUUCACAAAUGAGACUGACAACAAUGUAUGAAAAGAAAACAUCAGAUCUAAGCGCUUAGUUAUCCAUUGGGUUUUGUUUUUUUUUUUACCAAUUGAAGCAAUUUGCAGAUUCAUUUGAAACUGUGCAAUCUCUUCCAACGGUGCCAAGAGAUUGGUUUGCUCUCAAAACAGCAUAAAGGGCUUGAUCCUUCAAAGAUGAUUAAAUAGCUGGAUCUAGCAAA